AAUUAGCGUAGAGGCGACGAAGUCCGCUUACCUAUAUGGGCACCAUGGGAGCGGAUGGAGCCACUGGUGCAACCGGCUACUGAGAAG
rnacentral:ncRNA from 21 species